CCCUUAGAUGUCCUGGGCCGCACGCGCGCUACACUGAUGCAUGCAACGAGUUUAUAACCUUGGCCUGAAAGGUCUGGGUAAUCUUUUGAACGUGCAUCGUGAUAGGGAUAGAUUAUUGCAAUUGUUAAUCUUGAACGAGGAAUUCCUAGUAAACGCGAGUCAUCAGCUCGCAUUGAUUACGUCCCUGCCCUUUGUACACACCGCCCGUCGCACCUACCGAUUGAAUGGUUCGGUGAAGAUCUCGGACUUCGAUAUUUAUUCUUUAUUGAGUUUAUAUUGUGGGAAGUUAUCUAAACCCCAUCAUUUAGAGGAAGGUGAAGUCGUAACA
rnacentral:rRNA from 1 species